rnacentral:rRNA from 1 species
CUAUGCGCCUUGCCAGCCCGCCUCAGAAACUUAAAUGAAUUGACGGGGGCCCGCACAAGCGGAGGAGCAUGUGGUUUAAUUCGAUGAUACGCGAGGAACCUUACCUGGGCUCGAACGUAAGAUGACUGUAGGUGAAAGCUUACAUCUCUUCGGAGCAUUUUACGAGGUGCUGCAUGGUUGUCGUCAGCUCGUGCCGUGAGGUGUCGGGUUAAGUCCCGUAACGAGCGCAACCCUUGUCCUUAGUUACCAGCACGUUAUGGUGGGCACUCUAAGGAGACUGCCGGUGACAAACCGGAGGAAGGUGGGGAUGACGUCAAGUCAUCAUGGCCCUUACGGCCUGGGCUACACACGUGCUACAAUGGUCGGUACAAAGGGUUGCCAAGCCGCGAGGUGGAGCUAAUCCCAUAAAACCGAUCGUAGUCCGGAUCGCAGUCUGCAACUCGACUGCGUGAAGUCGGAAUCGCUAGUAAUCGUGAAUCAGAAUGUCACGGUGAAUACGUUCCCGGGCCUU